UACGUAGGUGGCAAGCGUUUGUCCGGAAUUAUUGGGCGUAAAGCGCGCGCAGGCGGUCCUUUAAGUCUGAUGUGAAAGCCCACGGCUCAACCGUGGAGGGUCAUUGGAAACUGGGGGACUUGAGUGCAGAAGAGGAAAGCGGAAUUCCACGUGUAGCGGUGAAAUGCGUAGAGAUGUGGAGGAACACCAGUGGCGAAGGCGGCUUUCUGGUCGUGUAACUGACGUGAGGUGCGAAAAGCGUGGGGGAGCAAACAGG
rnacentral:rRNA from 1 species